AGAAUUCUCAAAAUCCCAAAAUCCAGAGAACAGCACAGGAACCAGCAAAGUCCUCCGCCAUGGCCAACAUGAUCAUGGCUUCCUCCAAAGUCCCCAUCUCCUCCUCCCCUUCUACCCCAAACCCAAAACCCAGAAUCCCACUCCAAAUCUCCAUCCCCAAAAUGCCAGCAAACCUCCCAAAGCUCACAAAGCCCCAAUUGGUAUCCCUAUCCUCCUCCCUCUCCGCCAUCGCCGCCGCCUCGCUCGCAUUGGCGCCACCUUCCCUGGCGGAGGAAUUCGAGAAGGCGGCCCUGUUCGACUUCGACCUGACCCUCCCCAUCCAGAUGGUGCAGUUCCUGCUGCUUAUGGUGGCGCUGGACAAGCUCUACUACAGCCCACUGGGGAACUUCAUGGACGAGAGGGACGCGGCCAUCAGGGAGAAGCUGGGGAGCGUGAAGGACACGUCGGAGGAGGUGAAGCAGCUUGAGGAGCAAGGCAUCGCCAUCAUGAGGGCGGCGAGGGCGGAGAUAUCGGCGGCGCUGACGAAGAUGAAGAAGGAGACGCAGGGGGAGGUGGAGCAGAAGUUGGCGGAGGGGAGGAAAAAGGUGGAGGCGGAGCUGCAGGAGGCGUUGGCGAAGUUGGAGGAGCAGAAGGAGGAGACCAUGAAGGCGCUUGACUCACAGAUUGCCAAUCUCAGUGACCAGAUUGUAAAGAAGGUCCUUCCUCUCUGAGUUUCUUGGGUUUGUUUUUCGCGUAAGGUGUGAAUUGGAAUGGGGGCAAAUGGGAAAUCGGAUUGCUGUGUCUAUGAUUAUAUAAUUGUAAUAAUAAUAUUUGUAUGUUAAUUGAAUGAAAUUACUGUGUUUUUUCUUGUUCUGGUUUAAUAUUUUGUGGAUGUGUAAUUUGAAUAACCGAGGGAAGAAAGGAUUCAUGGGAUUUGUACAGUGUUGGAGAGGAUUUUCGGUGGCCGUGAACCCGAUUCAUGUAAGUAGAUCGGGUUGGAUGUGUUAGGUGAGCAGAAUAGAGCGGUGAGUGAUAGAACUGUCAGCUGUGUGUUCGAAUCAAAGAGAAAUUCUAGAGAAUGUUUUGCUACCUGAAAUUUUUUUUAUCGGGCGGAUUCCUCCUUUUGCUCCUCAGCCUGCCGGAUAUUAGUAGCCUGUUGUUUCCCUCCCAAGGGCAUGUUCUUACACGUUACUCACCCGUCAGCUCUACUCCUUGCACCUUUCCCAUUGUCCAUUUCAAGAAAGGGGUGUGCUAUCUACACACCCUAAAUUAUUUAUCACACAUCAUUUGUUAAUUUCUAUCCGUUGAUCUUCUUCAAUUCAUUCCGAUAUGACGGUCGAAAAUUAGAAAGAUAUGUAAGAAGUAAAAUGGGCUUUCAAGAAAUUAGUGGUAGUUUUGUUUACCUAUACGCUAAUUGAAAUUGUUUCAAAGUGAUUUUUUAUGAUGCUCUAGAAGACCGGGCACUUAGGGCAUUUUAUCAUUAAACCAUUGAUAAAAACAAAAAUUUAAGAAUCUAAGAGUCUGUUUGUUAUUCUACUUAAAUUCAACUUUUUAAACU
rnacentral:lncRNA from 1 species